rnacentral:lncRNA from 1 species
UAUAUCAGGCUUAUUGACAACUACAAUCAGACGUUAACAAUUGAAAGAUAUUCUUGUCGACCACUAAGUUGGCUUAACUGUAGAGUUGUCGACCACUAAAUGUAACUUGUCGACAACUGUACACGGCGACUGUGAAACAGAAAACCGAUUUAGACUUUGAAUCCCUUUUUAGAUCCAAAUCAUUCUCUCUCGAAUUCACACAUGCAUGAAAACUUUGAUAUCACAAAGCACCUGGACGAGCUCUGGUACCAAUUGAAGAAAAUUCGAGCAUCGUAUGCACCGAGGAUUCACCGAUUAAGCUAAAAGUAUGCAAUUUGAAAAUAAUUUUCAGCGGAAUAAAACAGGGCUGUUCAAAACAGCCCAUUGCAAACUUUGGAUCUGAUCCAAUCCUACGAAAUUUUCAGAUGAAUCUGCAGGAUAUGUGAUUGAAAUAUUCAUGCAUGGAUCACAUCGUAUGUGUUCUUGAAUUGAGAUCAAAUCUCAAAUCCAAAAACUGAAAAUAGAACACUAACCUUUCAGCAGGUUGGUUCUAGCUUGCUGCUCUGCAACCGCAUAAGCGUCCGGCCUCUACAAGUAAUCCACGUGAGGCCUCUGGAUCAACCGGCGUUCCGGGAAGUGCUAGCUAGCAGGGAUGCAGCAGGUGGCUGAGAGAGAGAGGGAGAGAACUAGGAGAAAGAGGACUAGCUACCCUUUCCUUCAAUCUUUUCUUUUUCCUUUCUUUCUCUUACAACAUGA